AAGUCACGUAUGGCCCUUACGCCUGGGCUGCACACGUGCUACAAUGGUCGGCACAAUGGGAAGCAAGACCGCAAGGUGGAGACAAAUCCAUAAAACCGACCCCAGUUCGGAUUGAAGUCUGAAACUCGACUUCAUGAAGCCGGAUUCGCUAGUAAUGGCGCAUCAGCUACGGCGCCGUGAAUACGUUCCCGGGCCUU
rnacentral:rRNA from 1 species